ACAUUAUAUACAAAGCUCCACAAUUCUCUUUCAUAGCCUAUGAAGUCCACUAAGUAGCUAAUUAAACAAUGGAAUUACCUCUAUGAUUUCUCGGAAGCCAAAACAGUGAGGAUCUAUAUGCGCUAUCGAGGAUCCCAUCAAGGUGCUUAAAUAAUUUCUAGAAUAAGCCAAAUCAACUAUAAAGCAUAUGGGAACAUGCUGGUACACCAAAUUUUGGAUAU
rnacentral:lncRNA from 1 species